rnacentral:lncRNA from 1 species
GACAAGUACUUCUUGGCAAUCUAGCAGCCGCCGCCUCUGUGAGAGGACCCGACUUGACAAGUCGGGCAGCCUGGGUGGAGGAUUUGUUCGGCAGUCCUGGGUGUGUAGCUCUUGCACCUAUGAAGGAAAGACUCUUUCUUCAAAUAAUGACUCAGCGUACCUAUAGUGCUGGUGUACCUGCAUCCAGGAAGCCUAGAGCAAUGCAGAUGCUGUUACAUAGUAAAGACGUUCUUUGCUCUCAGACGCUUCUGUUACCCUUGAGCCCUGCAACAUCAGACACAGAUUGCAAAAUGGUCAAAGAAGAGACUGUGAAAGAGGUGUCAGAUGAAGAUUUUAAACUGUGAGUAAUUUUUUUCAGAUAAACAAGGAGGGAUAAAGAACUAGCGUCUCACCCUCAAGCAACGUUUUUUUCUGCCCAGCCUGCCUUUUUUAAGGCCAACAUCUAGCAAAUCACACCCAGUUUUGCUGGGUAUGCGGAGCAUGGGUCAAAAAAUGGCAUCUUAAGUAGGCUA